AAAAAGGAAAAGCAUAAAAGAAGAAAGAGAGAAAUCAAAGAAAGUGUUCCUUCAUUUUCUCUACUAAAGUAAUGGACAGUAAUUCAACUUGUUACAGUGAAAGAGAUUCGUAAGGUAUGGUAUAGUAACGUGGAUGAAACAGAAAAAUACAAAAAGCGUGUUCCGUCUAUUUGGCUUUGCCAGCUCAGCUACUCCACUUUUAUUUGCAGUUUGUCUCUUACAGUCAAAUUCACUCAUUAUUAAUUAAACAAAAAAGAUCCAAUUUGUAUAUCUCUUACUAUUCCUUUUUAUAUUCAAAAGUUCCAAGCUAAGAUUUUCAGAAAGGAAAAGGCCUUUUUGUUCUGCUACUAAAUUUUUUUUAGAGAGAGAAAAUGGGUUCUAUUGGGAAUUUGGCUAGGAGAGCAGUGCUGACCAAUACACCAGUUAUGGUUCAGGUAAUUGGAAUAAGUGAAUCCUGACCUUAGAUUGGAUAUGUUGUUUUUUGUUUGGUUUAGGUUUCUGUGCAUUAAUGGGAUGAUAAAGAUUGAAUUUUUUUCAUAAUCGAUAUGCUGGUUUUGUUUGUGUUUUGCAAUUUUGUAGAUACAAGAAUUGGUUCGAGGUGUUGAAGGUUGUAUUUCUCUAGCUCAGGU
rnacentral:lncRNA from 1 species